UUAAGACCUUAUAAAAUUAUAUCUACCAUGAUCCCAUAGCACUGAGCCAUGCAGCUGAAGCAGUAUCAAACUUAAAUAAUUCUACAGUGUAGAUGCAUCCAUGGAUAAACAGAAUGCAAGUGAGAAACCUAAGACAGAAAUACAAUACCCAGAAUGCUGCAUAACAAAACUGUGCAGGGCAAGGGGACUUCCCUGUGUCAAGUGAACUAGCUGACUUAAAAAUAGCCGACCGAGUGGCACCACCGCAGCUCCAAAGCUGAAAGGUUCCAGAAUAACAGUAGAAUCUCUGGUUUCCCAGCACAAAAAUGAGCAACAAGGCUGAGUAUCUACAUGGUACUUGAGCCCCUUAAGUGCCCCCCUAGAAACCAGUAAUAGGAGGAUAACAUUCUAGCUGGGAUAGGGAGGAGGGAAGAACACCUUUCAAAGAUAGAUGCAUACCCUUCUUUCAUAGAGCUUAGAAACUGAAUGAUGGAUUACAUUAAUAGACAGGAGUGCUCAUUCUAUUUAGUUGACCACAAAAAAGGAUCAGGUUCUACUAAGUUACAUGUGGUCUAUUCCAUUGUGCCCUUCUGCCAUAUAAUUAAAAUUACUGUGGUUCAAAUUA